GCCUGGCUGGCUCGGUCAGUAGAGCAUGUGACUCUUGAUCUUGGGGUUGUGGGUUCGAGCACCCAUGCUGGGUG
rnacentral:tRNA from 1 species